rnacentral:RNase_P_RNA from 1 species
CGACCGGGUCAGGUGGUCGCGGGCGCCAGGCCGCGAGGCGGCGCCUGAGGAAAGUCCGAGCUCCGCAGGGCAGGGUGCUGGGUAAUCCCCAGGGGGGGCGACCCCAAGGAAAGUGCCACAGAAAACGUACCGCCCGCCAUCGGCGGGCAAGGGUGCAACGGUGAGGUAAGAGCUCACCAGCGGUCUGGCGACGGACCGGCUAGGUAAACCCCACCCGGAGCAAGACCAUGUAGGAGGAGGAUGACGCUGCCCGCCGACUCCUCGGGUUGGUCGCAGGAGGCCGAGGGGCAACCCCGGUCCCAGAGAGAUGACCAUCCACGACAGAACUCGGCUUAUCGACCCGGUCGUCCC